GUCCACACGGUAAACGAUGGGCACUAGGUGUUGGAGGGCUCGACCCCUUCAGUGCCGCAGCUAACGCAUUAAGUGCCCCGCCUGGGGAGUACGGCCGCAAGGUUGAAACUCAAAGGAAUUGACGGGGGCCCGCACAAGCGGUGGAGCAUGUGGUUUAAUUCGAUGCAACGCGAAGAACCUUACCUGGGCUUGACAUGCUGGUUACCAACCUGAAAGGGAAGGGACCCUCGCAAGAGGGAGCCAGCACAGGUGCUGCAUGGCUGUCGU
rnacentral:rRNA from 1 species